ACACCGAGCGAUCUUCAAAGAGAACUUCACUUUUCAUCGAGCGAGGGAAAUAAACUAAGAUCAAUGGUCAGCUUUGUCAUUGACACAACAGAGUGGCAGCUGACAGACCUUGUUGAAAGAUUUCAAGAGGAGGGGACUGAUGAGGAGAGUUUUCUUCUUUUAGAAGAGGCAACCAUCAACAGUUGAUCCCAAGAGCUGGCCCUGGGCUGAAGUUCUUCAAAAAAUUAGAGGACUUGUAAGAUCAACAUUAGAGGCACACACAGUUAUUAUUUCUAAAUAUUAAAAGGAAUAGUUUACUUUGAAAUUAAUUUUCGAUAUGUUU